CCUACGGGCGGCAGCAGUAGGGAAUCUUCCACAAUGGGCGAAAGCCUGAUGGAGCAACGCCGCGUGGGUGAAGAAGGUCUUCGGAUCGUAAAACACUGUUGUUAGAGAAGAAAGAGCGUGAGAGUAACUGUUCACGUUUCGACGGUAUCUAACCAGAAAGCCACGGCUAACUACGUGCCAGCAGCCGCGGUAAUACGUAGGUGGCAAGCGUUAACCGGAUGUAUUGGGCGUAAAGGGAACGCAGGCGGUCUUUUAAGUCAGAUGUGAAAGCCUUCGGCUUAACCGGAGUAGUGCAUUGGAUACUGGCAGACUUGAGUGCAGAAGAGGAGAGUGGAACUCCAUGUGUAGCGGUGAAAUGCGUAGAUAUAUGGAAGAACACCAGUGGCGAAAGCGGCUCUCUGGUCUGUAACUGACGCUGAGGUUCGAAAGCGUGGGUAGCAAACAGGAUUAGAUACCCCAGUAGUC
rnacentral:rRNA from 1 species